CGUUCUCGGGGCGGGGUGUAAUUCCCCACCGGCGGUAAAUGCAUCAAGUGCAUAAGCCCGCGAGCGCCCGGCUAUUUGGUCGGGGUCAGCAGAUCCGGUGUGAUUCCGGAGCCGACGGUCAUAGUCCGGAUGUGAGAGAAC
rnacentral:ncRNA from 1 species